GAUGGGGCUGCAGAACUUGACUCUUGCUGGAAGCCUCAAGUUCAUCAGAAACAGUCGUGGCCCAUGUCUUUGAGGUUUGCUUCUAAGGUUAAGGUUCCAUAGCAAGUGGAGAAACCUUCAAUUGCCUUAGUGGAGUAAGAAGGACUAAGCAAAUCUCUAGUACAGAACCUUGCUGGGCUGAGAAGGAACCUCUCCUGCAGCCAAAGAGGGAGUAAGCAGAGGUCCCAGACCUCAGACCUGCCCUCUCACACCAGACCUUCUCUUCUGAGAAAAAGAGGAACCACCUAUUGCAAAUGGGCAGCAAAGGUAGCUGAGCAGUUACAGAGGCAGCGGUGCACAACCAAGCAGUGAGAGUGGCCAUGCCAUGGUGCGUCCCCCAAACGACACUCAGCACCUCAGCAUCCCACCUCCAGAACACUGAAAUGUGGCUGUGAGCAUCUGUGCUUUAUCUUAAUUUUGUGCCUCCAUUAGCAAGAGGUGUCCUAAGACUUCAGUCCCAAAUGACAUGGUGUCCUGCACCCCUGGAAGAGAAAAAAAAUGGGAGAAUGGUUGCCAAGCAACCACGGCACCAGGAUGUCCUGAUUGCAGCGUGAUCGACUGGAAUCUGGCAAGUUUCCCAGGAUGAGAGUAGCAGGAAUAAUUAUUUUUCUGUCUUCUAAUUUCCUAUCAGGGUUGCCUUGAGUUCCAGUCUCACAUACUAAAGUCGUAAACAUUAUUUCCAAUUUCACAUCAUCUAAACCAUAAUUAUGUCCUUUGGGAUAAUUUAAAACUCUAUGCUACUGAUUUAAUCUGCUGAUGAAUUUACCCUCAAUUAUCACAGCACCCUCAGAAAGUUUUGACAUGAACCAUGACUUUUAUAAGCAAAGUGUUCCUGGUUUUAAGACAGUUUUAUUUCACCUGUGUAAAUCACAUACCUAGACAAUUAAAUUAUCUAAAUAUAGGUAGUAAUUCUGAUUUGGUUUAGUAGCGAUUUUACCAUUAUAACUGGGAAGGGACUUUAUUCAGGGAGCCAGCUGACUAAGAAGAUAACAGGCUACCAUCUCAAAAUGCCAAUCUUGUCUGGAUCUGGAUACCAGGCUCUUUUGUAGAGUGAAGAGAAAGAAGCAAUGAGGAACUAAAGUCAAAACGUAGAACAGAGAGGGAGAGGCAGUGGGAACGUGAAGUGAAAUGGUUUUCAGUCUUACAAAACAUCUCCAACUGAAUGGCCAGACUUUGGAAGGGGUUUCUUAAUCUCUUCUAUUCACAGAUGUGUAUGUGUUAGUCGCUCAGUCGUGUCCAACCCUGCGACCCCAUGGACUGUAGCCCGCCAGGCUCCUCUGUCCAUGGAAUUCUCCAGCAAGAAUAUUGGAGAGGAUUGCCAUGCCCUCCUCCAGGAGAUCUUCCCAACCCAGGGAUCAACCCAGGUCUCCCGUAUCACAGGCAGAUUCUUUUCCAUCUGAGCCACCAGGGAAGCCCAAUUCACAGAAUCAACUUUGGGGAGCAACAAGGCUGCAGGUCUUUUCCCUACGCGAGUAUCGAGAAGAGGGCGGAGGCCGUCUUGGAGUGCGUGAGAGAAGGGCCAGCCUGGAGGGGCGUCAGCACACGGAGAGGAAGUGACGCAAUGGCUUUCUUUGUUUCCCGUGAUUCCCGCUUCUUCACACCACUGGUUUCCUGCAUUUUCCUACUGGGAGGGUGCCACACUUGGUAUGACUAGGAUCUUUGACAUCAUUUGAAACACUUGAUAUUUGACUUUCCUGCCCUACAGCAAUAAAAUAUGGAGGGGAGGGGAGGAAUAUUGGGAUGAAACGGUGACAAAGUGACACACAACAGAUACAUUUGGCUCUCUAACAUUCAUGGACUGAUGCUGAAGCUGAAGCUCCAAUACUCUGGCCACUUGAUGUGAAGAACUGACUCAUUAGAAAAGACCUUCUUGCUGGGAAAGAUUGAAGGCAGGAGGAGAAGAGGACGACAGGGGAUGAGAUGGUUGGAUGGCAUCACUUACUCGAUGGACAUGAGUUUGAGAAACUCCGGGAGUUGGUGAUGGUCAGGGAAGCCUGGUGUGCUGCAGUCCAUGGGGUCACAGUCGGAAACGACUGAGUGACUGAACUGAACUGAACAGUCUUGGGUUUGCAUCAAAUGCAGUGAAGUCUCUAACUAGAGCUAAUCAAGUGGAACUAACAGAGUGUCGUUUGUGUACCAGGCUCCCUAGAUCCCAUUGACACUGCCCAUGAUCCCAGGGCCACACAUCUCCCUGGGCGGGUAGGGGUGGGGAUAGGUAGUUCCAGAUACUGAGAUCCAGCCAGCUCUGAGCUUGAGGCAACCUUACCUCUGCACCCAGCCAGCUGCUCAGAUGUGAUUGUUCUGUGCACUUGUCCUGACUUGUGAAAGGUUGAGAAGGAGUUCUCUAGGCAAUCCUUUGAAUUAAAUAUGAACAAUCCCAUUUUAUAAACUCUGACUUUGGAGGCAGGGCACUUAAAAACUGGACAUUGCCUUCUUUUCACUGCAUAGGUAUUGAACUGAUACAUAAAUGACAAGAUCCGUGAAGGAAGGAAAAUUAUUAAAGUUAAAACAAUGACAUAUAGAUUGUUUAAAGAUAUCUGGUCACAAAUUACAAUGCAUUUAAGCUAAUCUGUGUAUGAAAAAACCUCUUUAAAUCAAUAUGGAGAAGGGCAAUCACCAAGUGGGGGCUGCAGCAAUGUUUACACAGUGAUGAAAGCCACAGAGUGGAGCAUAGUGAUACCCUGCAGAUAUUGCCAUCUGGGGCAAGUUCUCUACCGUUGUAUCCAUUCCUUUAUAUAAAUGUGGGUAUUUAUAGUAUCCUGGGAGUUUUGAAUGAGAUUGUGUAGGUAAAUGCUUAGCACAACAUACACACAUAAUAAGCAUCUAAAGGUA
ensembl:lncRNA